rnacentral:rRNA from 1 species
CCUACGGGUGGCAGCAGUGGGGGAUAUUGCACAAUGGGGGAAACCCUGAUGCAGCGACGCCGCGUGUGGGAAGACGGUCUUCUGGAUUGUAAACCACUGUCCUCAGGGACGAAAAUGAUGGUACCUGGGGAGGAAGCUCCGGCUAACUACGUGCAAGCGGCCGCGGUAAUACGUAGGGAGCAAGCGUUGUCCGGAAUUACUGGGUGAAAGGGGAGCGUAGGGGGGGAUGCAGGUUGGGGGUCAAUAUUAUGGCCAAACCGGAUAGUCGAAGUCAAAACUGCAAGUCUUGAGUAAAGUAGAGGCGGGCGGAAUCCGUGGUGUAGCGGUGAAAUGCUUAGAUAUUAGGAAGAACACCGAUGGCGAAGGCAGCUCACUGGACUUCUACUGACACGGAGGCUCGAAAGUGUGGGUAGCAAACAGGAUUAGAUACCCGUGUAGUC